CACAAAACGUCCCCGCUCACUCCUGAACAAUUCUACCGGAGCCCCCCGACUCACCUCCUCCACGGCGCUGACCGCCCUUGCGGAGCGCAUUGCCCUUACGAGCACGAGGCAUUCCUGGAACUAGGAGUCGGGGACACGAAAUCCUGGCAGCCGUUGGAAAGAGGGACGCUCAAGCAACCAAGAACCCAGCCCUGGAAACCCGCCAGCUGCCCACUUGUCCCUGCUGACCUCAGGACUGAAGGGCUUCAUUCUCCAGAUUUGCUGGCCAUGCUGUGGAAGCGCGAGCAUGGCUUGACUGAAUUAUGUCCCACAAACUGGCCCUAGUGACAGCAACUCUGAGAAGCUGCUGCUGUGGCUGCUGCAGCUGCAGCUUCGGGGAAAUUCUGAGCUUUUGUAGUCACUCCACCCAAUUUACAGGCUGGUCUUGGCACAGGGUGGGACUGGGGCGAGACUAGCUACAGCCCCUCCCACUCAGGCAGCACUUGGGGAGGGCUUUGUGUCCUUCCUGGGGCUGCAGGCAGACAUAACCAACAGGUCAAGCGAAUGUGUGUGGUGCUGCAGUGUGGUCCCGGAGGGCUUUAUAUUAGAGUAUCUUCUCCACACCACUGUGGCUGUGACAUUUCAGGCUCUAGGCAUUUUUGUGUUGUGAGUGCCUUCCUUAUUAAAACAAGUGUUUUUGUUUUAUUCCUCUAUCCCUCCCCCCCACCCCUCUCUGUGCAGUGCUGGGAAUAGGACCCAAAGCUUCAUGCUUGCUAGCCAAAUGCUCCAUCACUGAGCUAUUCCUAGCCCUUCAAAAAGGCAUUUUAAAAUAUAAGAAGGCCUAGUGUGAUAGCCCAGCCAGUAGAAACACCUGUAGACUAGCCUGAUGACCUGAGUUCAAUUCCUGGGACACACUUGGUAGAACUAGUGUGUCCAGACAUAACCAGUCAAUUAAAUGUGUGAUCCCUGAGGACUAUGUGCUUAUAGAGUGCUUUCUCUACACCACUGUGACAAGUGGUGUCUUCUGAUGCUACCUGAACACCAUGGCACACACAUGCCCACAUGAGGAACAUGAAGGGCUACUUACAGAGGCAGCAUGGGUGACAAAGGCAGCUGCAUCAUCAAAAGAUUCACCCUAGCACGGGGAACAACACACAAAAGCUGUUUUCCUCGGAACAGCUUGCCAACUUGCAGACCCGAGAGAAGGCUGUGACUCAGAUGGCAAGAGGGACAUGUGACAGGAGCCCACUGCCCUUGGGAGCAGAAAUGCCCUUGUCUAGGAACAUCCCGGAAGAUCAGGCACCACUUCCCCUUUCUCCGAGGGUGGUUGAGGUAAGAAAGUUGGCCUUGGCCCAGCCUGGGAUAUUGGGAAAGGUGGCAGAUACACAGCUAGUUCUAAUAGUCACACAGCGGUGGGAACCCUACCCUCAGCACAAUUGCUGAGCGGGCAGCUCUGCCUUCCUAGGCCCCAGUGAGCACACAGCCGAGGGGGUC